UGGGGAGUUCAUACAUAUAUGCAGCGGCUACCUGCGUCAAAGCUUUUGUGCUGGAUUGAAUACGGCUUUGAAAGUUGUUACUUCAAAAACACAACACAGAGCCAAGCUUUGUGCUUUGGCCCGGUUUUAUGACAACAUACAUAUAUGAGAGAAUUGUACAUAUAUACUUACUUAUUUACUUUCAAUGGAUGCUGACUGUAAUACUUUUAAUAUAUGUACAAAAAUACAUGUAUCUAUUGUCAUGACUUUGUCUUUCGCUAUUUACUAGCAUUGUUGCGUUACUGUGGGACUGGUACGACGAAAAGAAAGAAAAGAAAACUAACUUCGUGGAAGCACGCGAAUGUUGUUAUGAUCCCAAAAAAGGCGUCUCUCCCCGCUGUGCAGUUUCUUCUCGGCCCAUAAGCCUAUUGCCAACAUUCACCAAGAUUAUUGAGCGAAUUUUAGUAAAAAGUUAACGUUGUACCACAACAAUGGCAAAUCCGCAGAAUAGUUGAAGUGCUGGAGGAGAUCCACUAGAGAAUCCCAGAGCGAAAGAACAUGCCGAGUGGGAUUUCGCUCCCUACAUGGACAUCCUCCCGGGCGUGUCCUCGUAAAUAAAUAUCUUUUUAGCAGAACCACCAGUAAUACGAUAUCCGACGACCUCUUCAUUUGGACUUCGGGCACCACCAUCACCAGCUUAUUGGCCAGCUUAAGAGGAGCUUGAGGUCCCGCUGGCUUCUAUUGGGAGGAGGAAAAUAGGGCGCCCACUAAAGAAUAGUUGGAGAAGCCAUAGCCAGGAUGCUGGGCGUCUUCCUGCAGUAUCAGCGGAUCAACCCCGUUCCCGAUCCGGCUCCCAGUUCCUCAAGGUACAAUACGCCCGUUGGGAGCAGGAUUGCGGUGGCGCGGGAUAGAUGGCGAAGCAUUCGUGGGACGUUAAGGAAGCUUUAAACUACUAAUUUACAUAAAUAAAAACAUUCCAAAGUAUAUAUAUUCUUGAUCAG